GGCUCAGUGGUCUGAGGGUGUGAUUUGCGCUUUGAGUGCGCGAGGUCCCAGGUUCAAAUGCCGGCUGAGCCC
rnacentral:tRNA from 1 species